CUGGGCAUGCCUGUGAACCAGUUUCUAGUAUGAAUGCCAGGUGAUGAGCUACCUUAAGAUCCUCCUGCCGGGACUUCUCUGCAUCGACGUUUUGUUGCAGUAACUGGAAAAGUAAGGAAUACAGCAUCUAAACAGCCGCGCCCAAGCAAGCUGAGCCGGGACUGGAGGAGAGAUCCAGGCCACCCACCAAGCAAACUCAAUCUCUCUGUGUGUCGCCUUCAGCCCAGCAGUGAGAAACACUGCUGGCAAGACCAGCCCAGGAAGCAAGUGCUGGAUGGCUAGGACACAGCCUGGCCUUUCCUCCUCUGACCUCAGGUCUGCAGUGCUUCACGGUGCCUGAGGUCUCUAACUUCCCAGGACCCAGGCCUGCCAGGCCCAAGGAAGGGGAUGAAUAGAUCCAGGGCCAGGAUCGGAGCUUCAGGAGCCAGGUAGCCCAGCAGCUCGGUGCAGGGAGGCCCCACAGACCACUGUUCUGACCCCGCUUGUGUACUUGGAAUACACAGUCUCUUAAUGAGAGACCUUAACUGUGUCCACGCUGCAGCGUCCCAGUCGGUAGAUUGGCUGGAUGGAACUAAUCAUGAUUCCAUGUGGGAGAUCUGCCGGAGACCAUGCCUGAGCGGCUGCUUGGGUUAGAGGCUUCAGCGAUAUGAAUCCAGGGAUCCGAAGCCAUUACAGUCAACUGAAUAUCUUCUAGUGACAAGGACAAGAGGAAAAAGACAGAUCCCUGGGCUCAAGGAAGACGUGAACUCCCACAUCACUGCUAUGUCCCCACACUGGAUGUCACAUGCAGCAAGUGUUCAUUUACCCUGCAGCUGCCUCUGCUAUGCAAUGCAUGCCUCGUUUGGGCUGAGCCUGUGACCUUUACUCUGUUCUUUUCCAACACCAGCACACUGCAUGCAUGCGGGCCUGAGGUAAAGACACAUGAAGGAAAGAAACCUUGCCAAUCGCCAUCUACCUCACUAACUGUAACCCCUGGCCUGCUGUGAGGGUCCAGGUUAGAAAGGCAGAGAGUGCUCUUCUCAACUGCCUUCUCUCCACACAGGGCUGAAAUCACAGGGAAUGAAGACUCAGCUAUGGAGACUGCAUGGGGGACAGAGACUCGGCUAUAUGGAGCACAUGCCCCACCCCAGCCUGGGUCCUGUGCAGCAAGGGUCAGAGAAGGAAGCAGGAUGGGGCACAGGCAGCUGGAGCUCCGUCUUCCUCACGAGGGAAAGGAGCCCACCAGUGCCUCACUCAGGCUUCACGGUAACAGCUGUGAGACCUUCGCUGUCCUUAUGCUAGAGAGAGGCACCUGCCAAGGCUGCAGCUCUCCCACACCUCAGCCACUGAUGUUCGCCGCAGCACAGGAGAGCCUUCCCCAGAACCAAACCCUGCUCUGAGGUGAAGGAAGCCUUCUGAACACCUCAAUGCCCUUUAUUUUCCACAGUGGCUACACAUCUCCCUCUACAACUGCUACAGUGAACUUCCGUAUGGAAACAAAAUCUCCUUUCCUGUCACUGUUCUCUGCCGCACCCUGCCAGUGCUGUCCUCAGGGAUCUGCACACAGUCAGAAGGUACGGCCAUUCUCCCCGCGCACUGGAGACCCCUCCCAAGACCCUGCAUCGAAACAGCACCCCGAGACACAGCCUUUCCUCCAUGAUGGGUCAGACCACCCAAGUCCAAGAGGCAUCCAAGACUCAAUUAUUGAAGUAGGUCACCCACACCUUUGGUGGCCUCCUAACACCUGGUUUGUGACAGUAUGCUUCUGAGUUACUGAUAACGAGGCACUUCUGGCCUCUACAGUUGUCCUUUGAAGACCACAAACUAGCUGUGCUGGGUUGGGUUGAGGCACUGCACAGAGCUACCGGCAAGGCUCAGAGGCCACGGGGCACAGUGGGGCUCCCGGAAACGGGCUGGGGCUUACCUUCUGUGACUUGAGCUCUUUGGUGAGCAUCAGCACCUGCUGCUCCAAGGCCGCCACCUUCUCCUGGGCUGUGCGGCUCCGAGCCAGUCCAUCGGAAAAGAAUGGGAAGGUGUUGCUUUGCCGCUUGGGUUUCUGCGUGGGACCUGAGGGCACAGAGGACCUGGGUGCAGACUUGGCAGGAUCCUCUGGCUCUUUUUCUGCUUGAGGAGAGAAACGCGGACGUCAGGAUGGGCAGACCUACUGGUGCCUUAUCCAUAUCUUCAGGCAACAGCGUCUUUCUGCAGUUUCCUCGUGAACUGGAAAGGGGGCAAUACACUUUGCUUAUUUAUGAAUGCUUACUAGGGAUUCUGCGGGAAAGAUGGCAUUCUGGGGACAGAUGGCAGUGACAGCCACAUAAUAGUGUGAAUGCACUCAAUGCCACUGGAUGGUGUAAUGGGAAGUGAUAAAAUGGUAAAUUUUGUUAUGUACAUGUAUUUUACUACAAUAAAACAUUCUAACCCGG